CCAAUAGCGUAUAUUAAAGUUGUUGCAGUUAAAAAGCUCGUAGUUGAAUUUCAGGCCUGGCUGGGCGGUCCGCCUUUUGGGUGAGUACUGCCUGUGGUCGGGUCCUACCUUCUGGCGAAGCGUCAUGGCCUUAACCGGCCGUGGCGGGGAACCAGGACUUUUACUGUGAAAAAAUUAGAGUGUUCAAAGCAGGCAUUCGCUUGAAUACAUUAGCAUGGAAUAAUGGAAUAGGACAGUGGUUCUAUUUGUUGGUUUCUAGGACCGUUGUAAUGAUUAAUAGGGAUAGUUGGGGGCAUUAGUAUUCAAUUGUCAGAGGUGAAAUUCUUGGAUUUAUUGAAGACUAACUACUGCGAAAGCAUUUGCCAAGGAUGUUUUCAUUAAUCAAGAACGAAAGUUAGGGGAUCGAAGACGAUCAGAUACCGUCGUAGUCUUAACCAUAAACUAUGCCGACUAGGAAUCGGGCGAUGUUGACAAAAUGACGCGCUCGGCACCUCAUG
rnacentral:rRNA from 1 species